AUUGAACGCUGGCGGCAGGCCUAACACAUGCAAGUCGAGCGGAUGAAGGGAGCUUGCUCCUUGAUUCAGCGGCGGACGGGUGAGUAAUGCCUAGGAAUCUGCCUGGUAGUGGGGGAUAACGUCCGGAAACGGGCGCUAAUACCGCAUACGUCCUGAGGGAGAAAGUGUGGGAUCUUCGGACCUCACGCUAUCAGAUGAGCCUAGGUCGGAUUAGCUAGUUGGUGGGGUAAAGGCCUACCAAGGCGACGAUCCGUAACUGGUCUGAGAGGAUGAUCAGUCACACUGGAACUGAGACACGGUCCAGACUCCUACGGGAGGCAGCAGUGGGGAAUAUUGGACAAUGGGCGAAAGCCUGAUCCAGCCAUGCCGCGUGUGUGAAGAAGGUCUUCGGAUUGUAAAGCACUUUAAGUUGGGAGGAAGGGCAGUAAGUUAAUACCUUGCUGUUUUGACGUUACCAACAGAAUAAGCACCGGCUAACUUCGUG
rnacentral:rRNA from 1 species